rnacentral:tRNA from 1 species
GUCUCCGUAGCUUAGAGGAAUGAAUGCGCCAGUCUAGCGAAAUGGGAGUCGUGGGUUCAAUUCCCACUGGAGCA